UUUCCAUGCUGGAUAGCUCAGUCUGUAGAGCAUCAGACUCUAAAUCUUAGGGUCACAGGUUUGAGCCCCACAUGGGGAA